rnacentral:tRNA from 1 species
CCUGGUGGCUCACUUGGUAAAGAAUCUGCCUGCAAUGCAGAAGACCUGGGUUCAAUCCCUGGGUCAGGA